GACAGAGGUGCCAAGCGUUUAGGCGGAAUCACUGGGCUUAAAGCGUGUGUAGGCGGAAUUCUAAGUACCUUGUGAAAUCCCACGGCUCAACCGUGGAACUGCUGGGCAUACUGGACAUCUCGAGGCACUCAGGGGCGAGCGGAACAAGUGGUGGAGCGGUGAAAUGCGUAGAUAUGCGGAGGAACACCGAUGGCGAAGGCAAUCCCCUGGACCUGUACUGACGCUCAUGCACGAAAGCGUGGGGAGCAAACAGG
rnacentral:rRNA from 1 species